AUUGAACGCUGGCGGCAGGCCUAACACAUGCAAGUCGAGCGGAAGAAGACUUCGGUCUUCGAGAGCGGCGGACGGGUGAGUAACGCGUGGGAAUCUGGCUCUUAGAGGGGGACAACUUGUGGAAACGCAAGCUAAUACCGCAUACGCCCUAAGGGGGAAAGCAGGGGAUCUUCGGACCUUGCGCUAAGAGAUGAGCCCGCGUCGGAUUAGCUAGUUGGUGGGGUAAAGGCCUACCAAGGCGACGAUCCGUAACUGGGCUGAGAGGAUGAUCAGUCACACUGGAACUGAGACACGGUCCAGACUCCUACGGGAGGCAGCAGUGGGGAAUAUUGGACAAUGGGGGCAACCCUGAUCCAGCCAUGCCGCGUGUGUGAAGAAGGCCUUCGGGUUGUAAAGCACUUUAAGUUGGGAGGAAAGGGUUGUGGCUAAUAUCCAUAAUCUAUGACGUUACCAACAGAAUAAGCACCGGCUAACUCCGUGCCAGCCGCCGCCGUAA
rnacentral:rRNA from 1 species